GAGCACCAUUACACCUUUCCCAUUUUCUCUACACAGAUAGUAGCUUCCAUUUUCCGCAAACCGCCAUGGACAACAACCCUCACCAAUCUCCGACUGAGGCCGCUGCGGCGGCCGCAGCAGCGGCAGCGGCGGCUCAGUCAGCCACGUAUCCGUCGCAGACUCCAUACCACCAUCUCCUUCAGCAGCAACAGCAGCAGCUACAGAUGUUUUGGACUUACCAGCGUCAAGAAAUCGAGCAAGUCAAUGAUUUCAAAAACCACCAACUUCCCCUUGCUCGUAUCAAAAAGAUCAUGAAAGCUGAUGAAGAUGUUCGUAUGAUCUCUGCUGAAGCUCCAGUUCUGUUCGCGAAAGCUUGUGAGCUUUUCAUUCUGGAGCUCACCAUCCGUUCGUGGCUUCACGCUGAGGAAAACAAGCGCAGGACUUUACAGAAGAAUGACAUCGCUGCGGCGAUUACUCGUACUGAUAUUUUUGAUUUUCUGGUUGACAUCGUUCCUAGGGAUGAAAUUAAGGAUGAGGGUGUUGGGCUUGGACCCGGAAUUGUGGGUUCUACUGCUAGUGGUGUGCCGUACUAUUACCCUCCGAUGGGCCAGCCGGCUCCGGGUGGAGUGAUGCUUGGUAGGCCUGCUGUUCCUGGGGUUGAUCCAUCAAUGUAUGUGCACCCUCCACCGUCACAGGCGUGGCAAUCUGUGUGGCAGACUGGAGACGAUAAUUCCUAUGCUAGUGGAGGUAGCAGUGGACAGGGUAACCUUGAUGGCCAAAUUUAAAAGAUCUCGCUGCUGCCAGUUUGGAGGCUUAACAGCACAUGUGAAACUGAUGGUUAUGAUAGGGAAAUGUAAUUUCUUCAAAUUGUGAAUCCACCUUUUAUGGCUUCUGUCAUGGAUAUUGUUUGACUUUAACCGACUUGAACCUUCUGUCUGUAUAAAACUUGACUUUUGUGUAUUUCUAGAUUU
rnacentral:misc_RNA from 1 species